rfam:Physcomitrella patens subsp. patens PHYPAscaffold_13 genomic scaffold, whole genome shotgun sequence.
UAAGAGGCUUUUAUAAAAGCCAUGUUGAGAUACCUCAAAUUAUAAU